rnacentral:rRNA from 1 species
CCUACGGGAGACUGCAGUGAGGAAUAUUGGUCAAUGGACGAGAGUCUGAACCAGCCAAGUAGCGUGAAGGAUGACUGCCCUAUGGGUUGUAAACUUCUUUUAUAUGGGAAUAAAACGUUCCACGUGUGGGAUUUUGUAGGUACCAUAUGAAUAAGGAUCGGCUAACUCCGGGCCAGCAGCCGCGGUAAUACGGGGGAUCCGAGCGUUAUCCGGAUUUAUUGGGUUUAAAGGGAGCGUAGGUGGAUUGGUAAGUCAGUUGUGAAAGUUUGCGGCUCAACCGUAAAAUUGCAGUUGAAACUGGCAGUCUUGAGUGCAGUAGAGGUGGGCGGAAUUCGUGGUGUAGCGGUGAAAUGCUUAGAUAUCACGAAGAACUCCGAUUGCGAAGGCAGUUCACUGGACUGCAACUGACACUGAGGCUCGAAAGUGUGGGUAUCAAACAGGAUUAGAUACCCCUGUAGUC